rnacentral:rRNA from 1 species
GACGGGGGAUGCAAGCGUUAUCCGGAAUCAGUGGGCGUAAAGCGUCUGUAGGUGGUGAUGCAAGUCACUGGUGCAAAACUCUGGCUCAACCGGAGGAAAGCCAGUGAAACUGCAUGACUAGAGUGUGGGAGAGGUAGAAGGAAUUCCCUGAGUAGCGGUGAAAUGCGUAGAUACAGGGAAGAACACCGGAGGCGAAAGCGUUCUACUGGAACACAACUGACACUGAGAGACGAAAGCUAGGGGAGCGAAGUGG